CAUAGGGGAGCAUACUCACAGCGUUGAAUGGUGUACGUAAGUUAUCCUGGAGCGGUGAGUAAAGCAAAUGUAGGAAUAAGUAACGAUAAGGAGGGUUAGAUUCCCUCCCGCUGUAAGACCAAGGUCUCCCGGGCAAUGCCAAUCAGCCCGGGGUCAGUCGGGUCCUAAGUCUAAGCCGAACGGCGAUGGCGAUGGCAGAGACGGUUAAUAUUCCGUCACUGCCGCAUGGGGCGACGUGGAGACGGAGCAGUGAAACCACCGCGGGGCGACGGAAGUCCCCGUUGAAGAGUGUAGGCGUUGAGGAUGGCAGGCAAAUCCACCGUCCGAGCUGAACUUGAGAGUAUGGAGUCUUCUUCGGAAGAAUCCAAUAGUGUGGGUAAUCAUACUCCCGAGAAAAUCCGCUAAGCUUAACCCAUGCGGCACCCGUACCGCAAACGGACACACGUGGUCGGGUAGAACAUACUGAGGCGUUGAGAGAUUCAUGGUUAAGGAACUAGGCAAAUUGACCCUGUAACUUCGGGAUAAAGGGUCCUCGUGAAUAGCGAGGCGCAGAGAAUAGGUCCAGGCAACUGUUUAACAAAAACACAGGGCUGUGCAAACUCGAAAGAUGACGUAUACAGCCUGACACCUGCCCGGUGCCGGAAGGUUAAGAGGAGAUGUCACUCGCAAGAGGAAGCAUUGAAUUGAAGCCCCGGUAAACGGCGGCCGUAACAAUAACGGUCCUAAGGUAGCGAAAUUCCUUGUCGGGUAAGUUCCGACCUGCACGAAUGGUGUAAUGAUCGGGACGCUGUCUCAACCAUGAGCUCAGUGAAAUUGUAGUAUCGGUGAAGAUGCCGAUUACCCGCGAUGGGACGAAAAGACCCCGUGAACCUUUACUACAGCUUAGCAUUGACCUUGGUCAUCCGAUGUGUAGGAUAGGCCGGAGGCUUCGAAGCGGGAGCGCCAGCUUUCGUGGAGCCAUCCUUGAAAUACGGCCCUUUGGCUGUCUGAGGUCUAACGCGCGAUGCGCGGACACUGCUUGGUGGGUAGUUUGACUGGGGUGGUCGCCUCCAAAAGCGUAACGGUGGCUUCCAAAGGUGCCCUCGGGUCGAUUGGUAACCGACCUCAAAGAGUGCAAUGGCAUAAGGGCGCUUGACUGGGAGGCAGACAUGCCGAGCAGGCAGGAAACUGGGGCAUAGUGAUCCGGCGGAUGUGUAUGGAAGCUCCGUCGCUCAAAGGAUAAAAGGUACUCCGGGGAUAACAGGCUGAUCCCCCCCAAGAGCUCAUAUCGACGGGGUGGUUUGGCACCUCGAUGUCGGCUCGUCACAUCCUGGGGCUGGAGAAGGUCCCAAGGGUUGGGCUGUUCGCCCAUUAAAGUGGCACGCGAGCUGGGUUCAGAACGUCGUGAGACAGUUCGGUCUCUAUCUAUCGUGGGCGUGGGAGUUUUGCGUGGUGCCGUCACUAGUACGAGAGGACCGUGAUGGACAGACCUCCGGUUUACCAGUUGUGCCGCCAGGCGCACCGCUGGGUAUCUGAGUCUGGAUUGGAUAAGCGCUGAAAGCAUCUAAGUGCGAAGCCAGCCGCAAGAUGAGAACUCCAUUGAGGGUCGUCAGAGACGAUGACGUUGAUAGGAUGCAGGUGUAAAGACAGCGAUGUCAAAGCCGAGCAUUACUAAUUGCUC
rnacentral:rRNA from 1 species